ACACUCACCUGGCAGGGGAGGUACCAUGAUCACGCAGGUGGUUUCCCAGGGCGAGGCUUACCCAUCGCCCUCCGGAUGUGCUGACCCCUGCGAUUUCCCCAAAUGUGGGAGACUCGACUGCAUAAUGUGUGGUAGGGGGGGACUGUGUUUGCGCUCUCCCCUA